rnacentral:misc_RNA from 1 species
GUGGAGAAUGGGAAGAGCACCUUGUUGUGAAAAGGUGGGGUUAAAGAAGGGGAGAUGGACAGCGGAGGAGGAUGAGAAAUUGAUCAAGUACAUUCAAGCAAAUGGGGAAGGCUCAUGGAGGUCACUGCCUAAGAAUGCAGGUUUAUUGAGGUGCGGGAAGAGUUGCAGACUUAGAUGGAUUAAUUACUUGAGAGCGGACUUGAAGAGAGGAAAUAUUUCACCUGACGAGGAAGAAAUUAUUUUCAAGUUGCAUGCCUCUUUGGGGAAUAGAUGGUCGUUGAUAGCCAGUCACUUACCAGGAAGAACAGACAACGAGAUAAAAAAUUAUUGGAAUUCCCAUCUGAGUAGGAAAGUUCACAUCUUUAGAAGGACUGGGAAUGGAAGUCGACCACUGGUUAUUCGAACAGCCAAAUUGGGAAUGGAAACCAGUAAGCGAGGCAAAACACCAGGCAGAUAUGCAAUCAAGAAUAACGAUAAACGCCUCCUACAUAAACAACCUGCGGCCUCAACCAAGGAGCCCGACGAAAAUUCCACCGGCUUCUCAAAAGAUGACGGAAUUGUACCCAUGCCACAAACCCCAGUUUUAGAGAAGGAGAUCUUGUCUAUUGCCAGCGAGGAUAUGGCGAUUUUUGAUACAUUAUUAGAAGAUGAAGACAGGGAGCAUAUGAACCUUGUGAUCCCGAGUCCAUUUCAAGAAAAAACAGAAGGAGAAGGAGAAAGGUUGGUGUUGAACUCAAGCGAGGAGAAAAAUAGCCAACAUGUGUCCUCUGGUGAUGAGAAAGAAGCGGAAAUGUUAGGACCAUGUCGUGGGCUUGAAUUUGAUUGCGAAAUGCUACUUUUUGACGACAUAAUACAAAACGAGUUGCUGUGUGUUGAAGGAGCUUUAAAUUGGGGGAGAGAAGAUGAUGUCUCUUUAGCAAUCUUUGAAGGAGAGAAGAAAACUACAGAAAGAAACGAAGAUCAGUGUGAACAGCUAGCAGAAAAUGGUAAUUUGAACUCACAUGAUGAGUUUUACCGGUGUUCUUCAAUAGGAUCACUUUUUGAUGAUUGGAGCUGGGAGAAUCUUAUGCCGUGGGAUGAAAAUGUAGACAAUACGAUAUCUUGUCUUUGGCAGGGUGAUCAUGGGGAAGGAGACGAUCAAAAUGCAUUUGUUGCCCGGCUGCUUUCUUGAUUAUCAUUGUAACUCUCCCAUAGUUGGCAAACGUAGGUACUAGCUAGGAUUAGGAACCAAGUCUAAAUGCCAUUAUUGCCGAAAUGCUCCUUGUCGUUUUUAUCAUUUGUUUCUUUUAAAAAAGAAAAAUUAUUAGGCGUAUUCAUCGUAGAUGUAUCUUCUCUUUUU